CUACGCUUCCCAGCAUGCCCCGCGGCAGCCCACCCCUACCUCAGCCCACGGCCACCCCCAGCGCCGCCGGGGCGGACGUCGUUGGGCCGCAGCGCACCGCGGCUCAUCCGCGCCCCGAGGGAGCCGCCCCGCCAUUACCUGGGAGGAGCGGGGAAACUCCAUCAGAGCCUGAACCUCCAGAAUUUGUGACGGAGCAGCAACACAGAAGGAUGUAGUCAACAUCUUUCAUACAAGAUUUCCUAUCAUUUAAUGGAGAGGAGGAGAGAGAAGAGAGAGGAAACACACUUGGCUGCAUUCCUCCACUGGUCUUUUCUUCUGUGUCAGUUCUGCAGCACGUGACUCCUGCAACACUUAGCUAUUUUUAACCUGGAUGUGGUCUGCAAUUUGUUUCACACACAACUCUGAAAUGGCACAACUGAGGAGCGAGUAACUGCUGGGAUAGGGGAAGGGGAAAUCAGGAGCUGCUUAUGUUGGCACCGAUGCCGAAAGAAGUGUUCAUGAAAUGAUAGCUUUGGUCUUUUCCUCUCAGUUCUGUGUAAAGUGAAGUCCCACACUGCCCCACAGAAAGGCUGCAAAGAUCAAUAUAUUCACAGUCUGAAUGUGCUCAGAUGUAGGGCAAAAAGAGGUGGAGAAAUCAAGGCAUCCUGUGCAAAAACACCACAGACAAUGGCCACUUUUGAAACAUAGAGUUUUCUGUCACAGUUCAACAUGUCAGUACUGCCCACGUCUGUGUGUACCAUCCUCUGCGUAGGCUCUCCUAAAACAAAUCAUUUCUGUGGAAGCCCAGUCACUGUACAGAGUGUGCAUCAAUUCACAGGAUGGAGUUCUAACAACCCUUCAUCUGAGCUUCUAUCCAUUCAAACCUAGGGCUUGGUUUUAUCUGGAAAAUGCAUAGGAAAAAGCUUCUUGAGCAUUAAUUUACAAAAUGAGAUCUCUAAUUGCAAAGCAUUUCUUUUCUUCAGAUAAAUAUAGCUGAUUGUAAUGUGUGAGAUCUGUCUUUUCCCUCUGUGUUCUGUUUAACGCUGUUUGUUAGACAUGAAAGGAAAAGAGGAUUAAAAGGGAGAGAUGCUAUCGUAAACAGCCCUUCAGGGUAGGUGGGAAAACAACAGUAACUCUCUGAAACAGAACACAGGGAUGCCCUCAGGAAAAGGUUUUGAAAGUGUCCUGCAUUUGAAAGUUAAUGAGUAAAUAAAUCUCUAACAUUACUUUAAAGGCUGACAGUGCCAGCUUUAACAUCUCAAGCAUUGCACCGCAACUGAGAAGAGACAAAGGGAAUUUUUAAUGGGCAAUAAGUGGACUAAUAUUUUUGGAUGCAAAGCUAAAAGCAGGUUAGUUCUGAUGAGAUGUGGGUUUGUUCUGUACUUCCUGACACAGCAGCUUUACUGUAUAGAGUUUGUUUGCCUUACAUUUCUGAUGAGGGGCCACAUUUUCCUUUAUAGAGAAAAAAGAAAAAAAAGAUGAUCUUAAUAAAUAAUCUUUCCUUGUAAAGCCACAGUAAAUCCAUUGAGUAAAGAGUUUGUAGGCCUUGGGGGUUGUGUGGGCAUGUGUCUGACCAUCACCCUGCUGUCCUGUGGUGCUUUAUAUCUAGAUCAUGUUGCUUAGUCCUCUCUGCCCUGCAGCACUGUGAGAUCUCCUUGCACAGAUCACAUGGUAGUGCAGGGCUGGUGGGCAGGCAGCCACAUCGCUUCUCACCCCAAAUAACUGCACACUCUCUUCUAGUCCGCCCACAGUUGUGUCCCCCUUACACUUGGUGAGUUACAUCCACAGUGCUGGAUUUGACUGCUGUCUUUGGUGCCUUGCAAGUCCGGUCCUUCCCAGGAAGGAGUCAGAGCAGAACUGGUUGCUGCAAGGUAAGAUCCCUGGCAGGAGUAUUCCCUUACUGCUGUCCUCACAUCACCGGCAGUGGGAAUAUGAUUUCUCCCUGUGCACUUCUCUCCCAUGCUGUUGUACUUAAAAUGAACAAACUUGUUACCAUGUUCAUGGAUGUCAGGCAUUUCAGAGAAAAGCUAGCCAUAUCCAGAGCUUUUUUUUACAGCCUCCUCAUUCUCAGGGUCCUCUGCACAUGGCUGUCAUGAGCAUUGAGGAGCUGCAGUGGCUUCCACAAGCGUGACUACACCUUGGUCAAUAGCAGACUUCCUGUUUUGUUUGUGCCCCAAAAAAACAAAACCAGAUGUUUCUGGUGUAAAAAGCUCAUCUGUGCCCACUACCUAUACAGCCCUCUGCUAAAGAAAGACGACCUGCCCCUCACUUACUUGCCGCAGCCUGAGGAGGGCAGAAAGAGCUGCGGAGUGGGCAGGAGGAAGGGGAAAAGGAGGAUACUGCUGGGGAAGAGGGUUGGGAAGGAUAUGUACUUUGGAAUAGAAAUCUUAUAGUAAGAGAACUGGCAUCUAAUGAGGGUUGGGAGAGAGCUUCAGAACUUCAUGGACUGUUUCACAAAGUUUCUUCCUAAUCGCUAUUUUUCUCAAAGCUGCUGUGCUUUUAUGACAAUAUUGAGACUAUCUGCCUGCAUCAGCACAAGUUGCCAGCCCAUAAAAAGAAGAGCGAAUCAGCUCCCUAAGCUUUAGCCAUCUGAACGUGAUGGAGCACAUGCCAGCCCAUGACAGAAUGCAUUAAUAGCAUCUCCACUCCCUUAUCACAGCUGCUUUCUAAGUCACCCUUUUCCUGAGGGUCAGUCACCACCUUCCAAUGCUUUCUCAGUUGAUAAAAAAUAUUUAGUGUAAUUUUUCUGCUCAGUUGUUAUCCUGAUCUGUCUGCUCACACCUUGAUGCAGGAUCCUUGCAGCCAAGGAUCUGUACAGCUCCUUGGGAGCCUUCUACCCUUUUCCCUGCACUCAGCCUCUUCCGUGUUGCAUGAUGAUCAAGAACAUCAUCUGCCUUUCUGAGCUUGAAAACUUCAACAGGUGGACAGAGGAACAGGCUUGUCUCCUCUGUCCACCUCUGCUUCUCCUUCUCAGGGCCCUUCUCAGUACAUUACCAAUAUCUUUCUUCUCACUAGCUCUUUCGGGGUUAGUCUUUCUUGAGCAUCUCCGUGCAAGUGACAGGCUGUCAGACAGGCACAGAGCCUUUCAUUUGACUUCCUCCAGGGAAUGCAGCCUUGAGCUGAUACAGGUAUGCCUGAGACUGGUUCUCUUGCUCUGUUAGGGACAAUACAAUGGGGAGGUUAGCUCUACUGUGCCCCUUUAUACUGUGGAAGUUAGCAGCAAAAGUCCUAGAUCUAUACCACUCAAAAACAAAACAACAACAACAAAACAAUUCCAUUUAGUCUACCUUUAAUACACAUGCAUAUUUAAUAUGCAUAUACCUGCAUACAUACAGAGAAAAAUAUACAUGUAGCUCUUGCUCUGCCACGUCCUGUGCGAUUUCUGCCAUCCUUCUGAGCAACUGGAGCAUGAAAGUACAGAAGGAAGAGGAGAUGGAGCUGUUUUGUUUAUGGCAAGAGGCUGCUUGCACAAGUAACCACACUUGUGGUGCAGUCUCAGGCACUCAGACUGGUGUGAGGCUCCAGCAAAGCCUGUUGUGACCCUCUUUGGAAAAAACUUCAGCUUUCUUCUGGCUGAUAAAGCCAGUACUGUAAAGAAACCAGAAAUACUAGUCCUGUUCAAGAGCUGUGCUGUGCCCCAGGCAAGAAUACUAACACAGGAUUCUCCCUUCAAAUAAAAGAGAAACAAUCAGAUAUUCUCAGUGCAGGCCCAGGUGGAAGACUGUACUAUCUGGGAAUAUGCAUGUUGUGUGGCUCCAACGGCAAAGAUGUGUGGUUUGUGGGAAUACAAACCCAUCAGGAAAAAGAAUUUGUUCACAGUACAGAAGCAAAGAGGAAUUUAAUCACCUGCCUUCUCUAGGUGAAAGUUAGGUGGUCUCAAUGAUUCUUAGGUUUUGACUCACUGAAAACAGCACUGUGUUUCAGCAAAGGGUGAAACAUGGGGGAGAGGAACUGCAUGGGCAAGUGUGUGCAGCCAAGCAGAUGGAGAAGGUGGGUACUCUGAUACCGUUAAGACAAGCAUUGCAGAAAGUGGGAGAGUUCAAAGAGAACUACAAGAAAAAUUUCCUUACAGUGAAAGAGAUCAAAUACAGAGCAAGGAUAGGUCUGGGACUUUUCAAUGGGUGGAGGAAGCCCCUUGAGAUAAAAUCUGUUGUCCUGUUUCCUCUCCUAGUCCAUUGCCCAAAGACUCACGGCAAGAAGAAAUAACAAGUGUGGAACACUGCCUAAGAAUCAUUUUAGCAGCAUCCCAUCUCGGCCCAGGGAACAGCCAGUUUCUUUGCUUGUUUCUUACUCCUUCUGUGCCUUGCCUCAUUCUAAACAUGACACUUUGACUAAACAAAACAUUCCUGUUACCUGCUCUGAAAAAUCACUCUGACAACCUUCCCUUCAGCCUUCAUCACUUCAGUGUGGCACAGGGCAUAAGUCAUCUGUUCAAAUGCAAGUGUCAAGCUCAAAUAAAUGCUCAUGGGACUCCAGUAACUGUAGUGACUGGAUUUCCACUGACUGUAACAGGCAAGCUGUGCUCCAGGACUCACUAAUGCUUCCCAUAAGCCUUGUGGAUGCAUAGUCAGAGACUUAUAGACAGACCUAUAAUGUGCUACAGAAAAACAGCAGGCGCUGCAAGUGUCUCAUGUCCUGCCAUAGCAGGACUCUUUGGCAAGUAUUUUAGAGUGAAUGAGUCUCUCUAUUGCAUCUAGACUCCUAACUCUAUCCCUGUCCAAAACUGGUGUGUAUUUUUCCUUGGGACAGUGCCCAAUCUGAAGAGUUAGUGUUUUCCACACAAAAAUGCCUGCUUGGUAAACUUCCAAGAAGUUCUAUUUUUGAUUCAAUGAAGAAUGGCAGCUUUCCAUGGAACUUAAUUUUUUUUCUUCCUUUCUUUUCCCCACCCCUUUUUCCCCCCAAAACCAAGAUUGCUCAAAAAUCCAUAACUUUUCAUUUGGAAGUGCUGCCAGGGAGCCUCAUGGAUGUCAGAGUUCAGUUGUCUUGGUCUGCAGGAGGUUGGAUGGUUUUUAUAGUCAUCCUUUCAAACUUGAAAAACUACAGUAGCUAUUUUCUUUCUUUACCUUUCCAUUGCACUGCUUUCCCUCCUCUUGAAGAGAGGACAGCAGAGGUUCUGUUGCAGACCUCUGAAAACUCUGGUGCUUUAACACACUGUUCCUGCUGCCCAGCCCAUAUGGUAACUUGUGACCAUGAAGGAUUAGGAGUGGAGCCACAGCUGUUAAGCAGCUACUGGAACCCACUCCAUGUCAGGGUAAAGAUCUGCUGAUGUGUGACUGCCUGAGAGCUGGAGAUACACACAAAUCUUGCCGGAAGCCUUUUAUCCUCCUGCAUCCAAAGUUUGCUUACUUCUGUAUGCAAGUUGUUCCAUAGUCUGCAAACCAUGUCCAAAAUAGCUGAAAUUUUCAGGACCGUGCCAUCACUCUAGUGGCUCCCACAUUUUGAUUAAUUUUCUAUCCCAUUCUGCAUCUCCAGAGUCUUCAGUGAGCAAGAACUGAGCAUCUUCUAAGUCAUAAUGAUCCUUACUUGUUCACUCUCUCACAAACAGAAUCCCUUUGGCCAGCAGCCAGGGCUGCAAUAAGGGCCAGGCACAUACAAGGGCAGCUUAAAAGCACCUUAGCUUUGGGAAAUCCUGCUGGGCUGUAAAAAGCUGCCCACAAACCCAAAUCAAGCAAGGCUUGUCUGAUAAUUCUUUGGCAUAAUCCCCAAACUUGCUGAACAGCUUUUCCAUACAAAGUAUUUCUAGGUGGGUUAUUAGGGCCUGUAUCCCUUCCAUCUUGUAUCCUCUUGUGGUUGAAAAAGGCAUUCUUUAGAGCAGGCUAUUUUUUAAAGAAAGCCAAAUAUCCUCCUUUACAUUUCUGGUUCCUGUAAACCAGAAGGAUACUUUGCAGGAUGCAAACUCUUCCUGCUACAGCUCACAGGUGUCACCUCCCCCACAGUGCUGGUACAGGACUUUCAGUUAAACAGACAAUUUGUACUUUUCAAGGAGGCCGGUGCUGGUUCAAGUAGCAGUGUGCACACUCAGUACUAGCACAAAGGUGCUAUGCUCUGUUAAACUAGUUUUCUUUCCUGUGUUUUUACAGUAGUAUCGCUGUAGCCACACUGGGGUCUGUGCUACUUUAAUCAUGCUGGAGUAGUUAAAAGGAAACAGCUGAGCUGAGCGUGUCCUGCAGCUCAGAGUCCUGUGGCUUAGGGCAGGAGGAGGCAGGGUCCUGGGCCCAAGCAGCCCUUCCAGCUUUGAGUGGGCAUGCUUAUGCUGUUUCACUACAGUAGUGUUUCCAUGUGUGCAUGUACAAUUCAUCAGUAAAGCUGAGCCUUGCCAGGAGAACCUGCGUCUCCGUGAGGCCCUCCCUGCUGCUAUAACACAGCAAAGCCUUUUGCCGGUGGAAGGCUGAUUUGCUGUGAUCCCUGCAAGGAAAGAGGCAGGCAUAAGACUUGCAGAUCUAUAGAUAUCAUAGGAGAGAAGCAGGAAAAGAAAUUACAGUUUUCCUUUGGAAACCGUCAGUACAACAAACUGGUUCCUUUGCUGGUUUGAGUCUUUGGGGUCUGUGCCACCACAGAACGAGAAGAGAGGUGGAGAUGGAACAGUGCAGAACUCAAAAAGGUUUCUGUGAGUUAAAACACGCUGUUUCACUUUGAGACGCUUCAAGAUGGGAUGAUUUGAAAGUACAUGGUGUGUCUGAAAAAAAUAACCAGCUGUGGUGGUAAAAGCCAACCAGGCAUCUAAAGAUCUGUUUUGAAGCUGGUCUGCCAGUGAGGCCCUGCUCUCCAGGGAGGUCUAAAUCACCAUGGGCUGAAGGACGCAGGCAGCAACCUGGAUUUCUUUCCUGCCACUGCCUGAGAGAGGCCAGUACUGGUCCCAGCUGCAGUGAGGCUGAGCAGGCUGCAGCGCAGUUGUGGUGCCUUGGUGUGACUCAGGGCAUUCUCCACUCUGACUUUCUUCCAGCAUCCCCUCCCCAGGCUGGAAUCUCAACGCCUCCCACUCUGAGAUUGUUGUUUUUUCUUCCCCAGCACCGCCCAGCCUGUUCCUGCUGGUGGCCAGUCAGCUGUGCUGAGUACUGCUGCUGCCACUCACACCUGUGUCAUGCAGUGAGCCGCACUCCUGCUUUAACCCAGCUCAGGUGGGGAGACCUGGUGAGACACACCAUAGCUACCUGGGCUGUGAGGCGCUGGGAAAAAAAGCAGCCUGGACAGCCCCGGCAAAGCCAGAGAGCUCUAUGCUCAAGAUGGUCAACAAGAGCAAAGGCAGGAGAUGCUGCAAAGACGUUAUUUUCCCUCACAGCGAAUAGUUCCACCCAGGUUUCACUUCUCAUUCCCAUUUUGUAUCAAAAAUAAACAAACAAACAAAAAUCACCGCUUGCUACUGUGCACUGCCCUUGUUGCCAUGUGAUCUGGGCAUGUGAUUA